rnacentral:rRNA from 1 species
CCCUUAGAUGUCCUGGGCCGCACGCGCGUUACACUGAUGCAUUCAACGAGCUUAUAACCUUGGCCGAGAGGCCUGGGCAAUCUUGUUAACGUGCAUCGUGAUAGGGAUAGAUUAUUGAAAUUAUUAAUCUUGAACGAGGAAUUCCUAGUAAACGCAGAUCAUCAAUCUGCAUUGAUUACGUCCCUGCCCUUUGUACACACCGCCCGUCGCACCUACCGAUUGAAUGGCUUAGUGAGAUUUCCGGAUCGGCGUUGGGGAGCCGGCAACGGCACCCCUUGGCUGAGAAGUUACUCAAACUUGGUCAUUUAGAGGAAGUAAAAGUCAUAACA